AUGACAUCACUGCAUUCCAGUCUAGGCAACAGAGCAAGAGCCUGUUGGUUGGCACAGGGGGAGCUGCGCCUCACCCAGAGCCUCACCCAGAGCCUUCUGGGAUGGUGGAUAGAUGAAGAAAAACUGAGAAAUUUUGUUGCCAUCAGACCUACUCUUCCUCUACUCUUGCUGAAGAAAGUUCUUCAGACACAAGGAAGUGAUACCAGAAAGAAACUUGAAAAAUCAUGAGUGAAAAAAGAACAAUAAAAAGGGACAUAGGUACAGUCACAAAAGUAAGCAACAGAGAAGAGUACCUAAGGCUCUAUGUUUCUGGCUACAGAACCUAACAGAAGAGCCUCAAGGAAACAAGAUGUACUGAGGAGAUUGUAAUGAUGAAGGACCUCAAGAAAGAAACUCCAUUAUGUUAAGUAAUCCCAAAGUUUACUCCAAAACUACAUAUGAUUGGAUCUGGCACUAAUCAGUAUAACAAAGACAUUGAAAAUUGAACUAACAGAAAGAUUUCUGGCCAGAACCCACACUACAACUGGAUAAUAUACAAAUGAUCUGAAUAGCUCUUUAAAAGUUUUGAAGACUGAGCUGAUGGGAAACCACUUCAGAUGGGAUAAAACUUUUGGUCCAAAUUUAACCAGGUCAAUUUCUUCCUAAAAUAAAUAUGUCAACAUUCUCCAGAUGAUUUUACUUCAAGCCUCAAAACAUGAUACCUCAGUCCAAAACUACUCAGCAAAUGGACACGAUAGAUACAAACACUGAGAUGGCACAGAGGUUGGAAUUAGCUGACACAUACUUGAAAUCAGCUAUUUAAAAAUGUUCUAACAAGCAAUUGCAAACACACUAAAAUUAAAAGAAAAAUGGUCCCAGCAAUGAUAUGAAAAGAAAAACAAAUGAAAAUAUAGAACUAAAAAGUACAAUAACAGAAAUAUAAAACUCAUUGAAAGAGCUCAAAAGCAUAAUUGAGAUGACAGAUUAAAUGGUGAGUGAAACUGAAA
rnacentral:lncRNA from 1 species